rnacentral:rRNA from 1 species
GGACGAACGCUGGCGGCGUGCUUAACACAUGCAAGUCGAACGCUGAACCGGCCUUUGGCCGGGGAUGAGUGGCGAACGGGUGAGUAACACGUGGGCAAUCUGCCCUGCACUCUGGGAUAACUCCGGGAAACCGGUGCUAAUACCGGAUAGGACCGCUCCGCGCAUGCGGGGUGGUGGAAAGCUCCGGCGGUGCAGGAUGAGCCCGCGGCCUAUCAGCUGGUUGGUGGGGUGACGGCUCACCAAGGCGACGACGGGUAGCCGGCCUGAGAGGGCGACCGGCCACACUGGGACUGAGACACGGCCCAGACUCCUACGGGAGGCAGCAGUGGGGAAUCUUGCACAAUGGGCGGAAGCCUGAUGCAGCGACGCCGCGUGAGGGAUGACGGCCUUCGGGUUGUAAACCUCUUUCAGCGGGGACGAAGCCGCUUCGGUGGUGACGGUACCCGCAGAAGAAGCACCGGCUAACUACGU